UACGGAGGGUGCGAGCGUUGUCCGGAAUCAUUGGGCGUAAAGGGCGCGUAGGUGGCCCGGUCAGUUCGUGGUGAAAGCGCGGGGCUCAACCCUGCGUCGGCCAUGAAUACUGCCGCGGCUGGAGCACUGUAGAGGCAGGCGGAAUUCCGGGUGUAGCGGUGAAAUGCGUAGAUAUUGGGAGGAACACCAGUGGCGAAGGCGGCUACCUGGACCGGUUCUGACGCUGAGGCGCGAAAGCGUGGGUAGCAAACAGG
rnacentral:rRNA from 1 species